GGGUGAUGUAUUUACAUUUUAGGGUCUCAAUUCAGAGAUGAAAGCAUUAAAUAGUCCUGACUGAUCACAGUUCAUACUGAUAGAAAAUCAGAAAAAUACUUGGUAUGAAACAUGUAGUAGUGAAUCAGACCCAAAGCUUGUUGUUUUGCGUCAAGAUAUAAUGCCAAAAACAAACUGUAUUUCAUUUCAAUAUUGAAAACAUCAAACUCAGUAAAUAACUGCAUGUGUAGGUUUCUCCAUAAUUGAGGAUAUGUCUGGAUAGAAUUCCUAGGCUGAUGUAAAGUAGCUGUCAAAUUUUGUUAGUUUAGCUAACGUUGGUGGAAACCUGACCUUGCAAGUGGCCCAUGCGUUUGCACUGGGGGAAAUGAACUUAAGAAACUUUACCAGUGACUUGUCUGUUAAAGCACAUAACCAUUUGAUUACAUUUGCAGGUGCAAUUGAUGAGCCAUCAGAAUGUACUUCCUAUUUGGUGGUGCAGAUUUUCAUCUUCUGUUACCUUCAAGGUGCAAACACAGGGCUUGGUCUGAAGCUCAUUUAAAAUUCAAUUCAUUCUUUCAGCUUGUCAGGCUAAGCAAUCCUGAUAGUGGAGCAGCAGGCUGCUCUGCUUCCUCUGGAAGACAGUAUUUUAUAUGCUUCAAGGCAAUGUUAAGGUGCAUUAUAAUGAACUUCUCUUGAGUAUUCCUUUCCUAGGUUUACCUCAGACUGAUUACAGUCUGACAAGCAGUCAUCUGUCCAGUUCAAGAACUGAAUAAUGAAAUGUCUUGCUGACUUCUUUGAUCUCUCUUUUGUGGCCUGCAUUUGGCAGCUUAAUUUAUGUGUAUUGCUUUCCAUCAGCAUUGUUUUGACUGUGAACUUUCAUGUUUUUCUGUCAUUACUGCUUUAACUCUUGGAACCCUAACCAUUCUGCCCUUACUACUUUUCUUGAAAUUUUCACCUUCUUGGAUCUUCUCCUUUUCUUCACUGAAAAGAUACUAAAUUUCUUCACUGUUUUUGCUCAUAAAGCAGUAGAUACCUCCAAAAUACAUCCUCCUGGCUUUGCUGCACCCUUUCUCAGUAGGAUGAACAAAUUUCCUGAUGCUGAAAUACAUACUGUACUAUUAUACCUGUUUUUUUUUUUAAGCCAUUUGGAAUGGCUGGCAAGACAGCCCAGGAACCUCACUCAUUCAUGAUGGAACUUGAGCAAAACACUGAUGUGCUGAAGUGUCACUCAUUUCAUGUGGCAAAAUGAAACAUUCAGGCAAAAUACUUAUCUUGACGCUUAAGAGGAGCUGAAUGAUCCAAAGUGGGAGCCAUUCUCUGGGCAAUGCUGCAUAAUUUAAGAGUGGGUAAAUAUGCCUUCAGGGACAACAGAACACAGAACAGAUGUUUGAAAAAAACAAACAAACAAACAAACAACCCAGAAGAAGCCUUGAAGCUUUGUCCACUCAUGCACUUACUCUUCCCUGGAAAAAUGUACAGGUACAUUCAGAUGUGUUAGUGAGUUAUAGAUCAGAUAUCACAAAGGCCUUUAAGGGUGAAUGUUUUAAAGGCAGUCUCCUUUGGACAGAAAAUAAAGGAAGUUGUCUCUGUCUUCCAGUUCCGAAGUACAGCAUCGUAUUUCUGAUCCUAACCCUAAAUCAAUAAUUAUUGAUCAAACUGACUAAGCUUUUUAGGUUGAUGAGCUCUCUACAAAGCAUUUCUGUUCUCCUCUUGAGCCUCUGCAGGGGCCAACAACUGGUGCUUAACUACUACUUCUACUGCAGAAGGUCACCUGUCCUCCAGCUGUCUCAGAAUCUUCUGGGACACUUGCACUUCUAAGAGAGCAACACUGCUAUGGGGGUAAUUCUCAAAAGUGCUAAAUACAGUGGAGCAAAUCCCCGUGGGCUGUACACUUUCUUAAGUCCUGCCCAGGUCUUAGUGGCAAAGUUGAGCAUGAAACCUGUACUGCCAAAAAUACCUGCCCCUUAAGAAGAAAGACAUCUGAAGGUGACUUUGAGGAAAGGAUGAUGUCUUCCACAUUCAACUCAUAAGCUUAAAAACAAACAAACAAAAGCAAGGAAAAAAAAAAAAAGUUGCGCUUCCACUAAAAAUCACCACCACUCUUAUCAAUUCAAACAACCGCUGUUAAUUCGGGCUAAAAUAUCUCCCCUGUGUAGCCCAAACUACCACCAUCACCAUCUGAAGAAUUUUUAAACAAAGACUCACCUGGAGACAGAUCUCUGCUAAGAGAGUACAUACUGCAAGGAAGACAGGUAAUCUGGCAAUGCAGUAUGAUGUUACUUUUCUAAUGACAAUUACUCCAGGACAAGGAAAAGACUGAGGCAGGGCUUUGGGGCAGUGUUUCAUGCUCAGCAAGCUUGCAGAGGGAAGGAAUGCAAUUCUAUGAAUCACUUGUACUGUAUUUCUGUUUCUAGACUUGAAUGAAUUUCACUUUUCCUUUGUGGGUCAGCAUAGUAAACAUUAAUGAAAAGGUCUAUUUUUAUAAAUCUCUUUCACCAGUUGAGAGGGCUGACCUGCAGCCACCAGAUAGACUUAUUUAUCCAUAGAGGACAGAAUGUUUAUUUUUACACUAAGAUUACUUACAGCAUUGAAUAAAACAAGGCCUUUGAUCUAAAUCUUAAUAGUAUCACCAAAUUGCAGAAGUAUGUAUGGUGGACAGUUCCAUGUUUCUUCCCAGUAAGUCUCUCAAAAGAAGUUACUCAGAAAUAAACUUCCAAAUGAAGUACAAGAGAUCCUUGUGAUCUAACUACAGGAAAUUUACGAACCAGGAGAAAACUCAAUAAAGUGAGCUAGAUCUCACUAGCUAAAAAAACCUGCAAAUGUAAAGUAAAUGGAAUGUUCUUGGGAUAUUGAGUUGCUUCCUCACGUGAUGCUGUACCCGGUACAUCUGGCUUCAUUUGGCUUCUGUGUUGUGGUUUAUAUGCCAGCCACUGUUAUAAAAACUGUACACAACACCUAUAUUUGCACUGUAAUCUUAAUUCAUUUGCCACUGAUUGUAACCCAAUGCUACAGACUUCUCUGUAUAUAAAACCAUAACCAUGUCCCACUUGCUUUCAAUAGCAUACAAUAAAGGCUUAUAUCUCUAUACUUACUUAUGACUUAUUUGGGUUUUUUAAUUUUAUUUUUGUUUGCAGCGAGGGAACGGGCUUUAAGGUUUUUUGAAGCCUGGGAAGCCAAACCCAUAUGUCUGUUCUGCUUCAGUCAGGUAACAGGCACAGCAGAAAGUUAAGAUAGGCUUCCCAGGCUGCAGUCUUAGCAGAGGUGGCUAUUAAGGAAGCUGCAUUUUGGGCGAUGGAAACAUAAAGUACAUUUACACUGUAA
ensembl:lncRNA